ACAACUGGAGUUUAGUCACGGAGCGGUUUCACAAUCGUAGGCUCACUUCAACCUCUCGACACGAGUCGCUACUGAAACGUAACACAGCAUUUGCAUAGCAGACAGCUUCAUACGUAGAUCCUCUCCCAGCUUCCCCAGGAGACUGCAGCCUGGCUCCUCUCUAAGCCCCUGCAAAUCCCUGAAAGCAUCCGACUUUGUUAGUGACGCCCAGCAGCCAGUGUAAGAGUAAGAGCAAAGUAAAGGGAGCACAGCCGACUCCGCAACCAGCCAUGUGACGCAGGGACCGAAACCAGAACACAUGGAGCAUGGGAUUCCUUUCCACUGAGGUCAAGAACUUAGCAAAGCCUGAAAGAGAUGGAAGAAGACUACCUUUGUAGCUACUGAAACUCAUCCAUUCAAAUCUACAAGGGAGAAUUGACGGAGCAGUUCUGGCAUCUCACUAUGGAUUCAGAGGACCUGAGAUUGGCAGCACAAAACGACCAUUCGAGUUUUGCACUUUGUCCUUCAGAAAGAUGGAGACCUGCAAAGAACACCCCACCCACGAGAGCACCAGUCAGAUGCCUCCUCACAUCACCUGCUCAGGGCUCAAUCCUGUAGUCCGCCAACAUCAAAGGGAGACCAGUGUGUGAAACAAGCAUGUGAUGGGCCCACAACAGUCACACUGCUUGGCAUCAUACCCCGAUUUGAAAUAAACUGCUUGCGCUCAGCUUACUGAUAGAACCCUUUCCUUUAUUCAGAGCAUACCAAACUCACCUUUAAUCCUCAGUUUCUCAGCCAAGCUUUUAAUUAAAAAGGUUAAAGUAGUUUGUCAGUCAGUAAAGUCCAUACCUGCAUGGCAUUCCCUGAGUUUAGGAAACACCCACUAAUAAAUAAGCAAAUUCAGAACAUAGUAGCUUGGAGUGGGCAGUAGUAGCUUCCCCUAUCACUCAAGUGACUAGGAAAUAGAAAGAAUGGUUUGACACACUUGCACUGCACAUUAUUUUUGGUUUCUGGAGCUUCAAGCAAUGACACUUUUGAAGUCAUCAAAUCAAGUUCCAAGCCCAAGCAGCAAAGACGAGCUUAUUUUAGAAUAUGAUAGUACCAGAAUAUGAUAGUACCACGUUACUGCCACUAAAUCAAAUUCAUAUUUCUUAUUGGCUAAUCAAG